rnacentral:rRNA from 1 species
CAGCAGCCGCGGUAAUACGUAGGUGGCAAGCGUUGUCCGGAAUUAUUGGGCGUAAAGGGCUCGCAGGCGGUUUCUUAAGUCUGAUGUGAAAGCCCCCGGCUCAACCGGGGAGGGUCAUUGGAAACUGGGAAACUUGAGUGCAGAAGAGGAGAGUGGAAUUCCACGUGUAGCGGUGAAAUGCGUAGAGAUGUGGAGGAACACCAGUGGCGAAGGCGACUCUCUGGUCUGUAACUGACGCUGGGGAGCGAAAGCGUGGGGAGCGAACAGGAUUAGAUACCCCAGUAGUCCCUGUCUCUUAUAC